GGAGCCAUGCUGUAAACCAAACUGUAGUAAAAUACCUCCUUUUUUUAAGCUGCAUUCUGUCUGCAUUCUGGUGGCUUGCUAGACAACGUAUGAUAUAAACGUGGAGGUUAGUUAGCCUGAUAUCACCAUAUCACUCAGUAGUAAGCACUGUUGAUUUUUUCCCAUGGAAGAAAGAGAAUUAAUUCAAUUUAGUGAUUGGAAUUGCUUUACUGCAGUCUUGUUUUAUCUUGUUUCUCUUUUUUUCUCUUUUUUUUUUUUUCCCCAUCCCUUCCAUAUAUCGCAGAUAUCACAGUUGAUGUUUGCAGGGACCUCUGGAAGUUACCCAGUCUAAACCCCCAUCUCAGGGAGGGCCACACAUAGCCAGUUGCCCAGGUCCCUGUCCAAACAGCUUUUGAAUAUCUCCAAGAAGGGGGACUUUACAGCUCGCUGGACAAGUGGUGCCUGGACUUGGUCACCCUCACAGUAAAAAUGUAGUUCCUGAUAUUCAGGAGGAACCUUCUGUGUUUCAGUCUGUGCCCACUGUGUGACUGUUCACUCAACUCCUGCUCAGGUUUUGGCUAACACACAGCUCAUGCUAAGGCCUGAUGCCUCCUGGGAGCUGGGCCACUAGAUCAAAGUGUGGGCAAACAUACAGGCAGGACACAGUGGCCAGAAAGGGCUAAAGGUCAUGAUGCAGCCACUAUCACCUGCAACUUGCUGUCUCCUGCAGCCAUAAUCCUUUCAUAUUGGUUGUCUGGCAGUUUUUCAGGAUCUGCUAAUGCAUGGAAAUGUUAUAGACCAAACUUCUAAGCUGGAAGGUGUAUAUAUAUGCCAGCUUACCCAAAAAGAUUUUUAAGCGGAUCCAACAGUAGCUGGAAUUAUGAUGUCUUCAUGCUUCCCAGUGUCAUACAGGGGAUGCCUGCACCAUGACGGAGGAAGAAGGAUGAGCACUCUCACCAUAGGCUAGGUUGAUAAAUAGGCCUUCAUCAGCAUCUCAUUCAGACCUGUUAUUACAGACUGUGCUAUGCUUCUGGGAUGAUACAGAAAGAGCCCUUUUCUUCCAAGGGAUCCACAUGCUAAUGACUGGUAAUCUACUGCAUGAAUCUACUGAUUUGUUGAAUUCACAACCAUGCAUGGCAGGAGCAGUGCCAAGAAGGCAUGUCAUUCCCAGAACUGCUGUUAUGUAGACAACUUAUUGUAACACUUGAUAUCUCAGAGCUUCAUAGGAAGAGCUUUAGUCAAGAUUAGCUGUCAUGAUUCGCAGAAAACAGACUCUACAACUCGGAUAGAGUUAUACAGCAGGUUCCUGCUUGGUCUGCUUCCUCAUCUGAUCCAACUGAAAUGCCCUGACCUUGGCCUUUAGACUGAAGUCUCAUGGUUUGGUGUUACCUGCAAAGUUGGUGAGAGUGCACUCCAUCUUCUCCAUAUUUACAGAUAAUAAACAGGACAAGGACCCGUGGUAGACCCUGACAAACUAUGCUCGUUAACAGCUUCUUGGUAGGGUACAAAACUUUGACUGCUACACUUUGACCUUGAUUCCAGCCAGUUUUCACCCAUCUAAUUAUCUACCCAUCCACCCAGAUGAGGUACAAGAAUUAUGUGGGAAACUGUGUCAGGAGCCCUACCAAAGACAGUAUAAUACUAGAACUUCCUCCUCAUGGAAUAAACCUUUUUGGUAUAAAAUCAAACACUCAGGAAAUAGUUACCUGAUGGCACUAGAGGAAUUCAGUAUCCAACUUGAAAGAAAAUAUUUUGAUCUCCAAGGAGAAGACAUGACAGGAAUUAUUUUGACAAUUUAAGUCUUAGCAAGCCUCUUCAAAGAAUUUCUUAUGCUUGAUUUGGACUUUUGCUUGGAACAAGAUUUUGAUUACUUUUCAGCUACCAUGAGGGCAACUUCAAUCAGCUCACUGAGCAAGAGUCAGGAUUUUAACUCAUACCUGUACGCUACAUGUGUGAAUAAGGCAUCUGGUCUGUAAGCAGAAAAAGGUUAAUUCAGAAUGCAAGCUGUAUUAAUUAAACAUUGGUUACUGUGCUAAAAUACAAAUAUUUAAGUCUGAAUGAAGAUAAUCAAAUGUCAUGUUCCAAACAUGAAAAUGAUGUCUUCAGAAAAAAAUCACGUGUAUGUUUUUAAAUACAGAACAUCUGUGUAAAACAUUGUAUAUGAACUUACGAAUCAAUGACCUAUUUCAGUAUUACAAAUCCUCUCAUGAUUUUCUUUUCCACUUCUGAAUAUGUCCCAACUAUUGCACAAAAUCACUAGGACAAGCUUUGGACAUUGGCAAAAGAUAGCCAGGGAGAGGGGAACAAUCAAUUAUUUUGCAAGAUAAUUUUUAUAAUAUGUUAUCCACUUUUGUUCUGC